rnacentral:snRNA from 1 species
GGAUGUGAGGGCGAUCUGGCUGCGACAUCUGUCACCCCAUUGAUCGCCAGGGUUGAUUCGGCUGAUCUGGCUGGCUAGGCGGGUGUCCCCUUCCUCCCUCACCACUCCAUGUGCGUCCCUCCCGAAGCUGCACGCUCGGUCGAAGAGGAUGACCUUCCCCGAUAGAGGAGGACUGUUCUUCGGUCAAGGGUAUACGAGUAGCUGCGCUCCCCUGCUAGAACCUCCAAACAAGCUCUCAAGGUCCAUUUGUAGGAGAACGUAGGGUAGUCAAGCUUCCAAGACUCCAGACACAUCCAAAUGAGGCUCUGCACGUGGCAGUCUGCCUUUCUUU